rnacentral:rRNA from 2 species
GAAUGCCGGAAUGAGUAGCGAGAUGGAGGUGGGAAUCCUCCAGGCCGAAUAUCCAAGGUUUCCAGAGUAAAGCUGAUCUGCUCUGGGUAAGUCGGGGCCUAAGGCGAGGCUGAGAGGCGUAGUCGAUGGACAACAGGUUGAAAUUCCUGUACCAUGUAUCAUCAGAACUGUGGGGACACAGAAGGACAACACAUCCCGGGAAUGGGAAUACCGGGGCAAGCGAGGUAGGAGUACGGUUGGCAAAUCCGCCGUGCAAUCCGAAGACGUGACGCGCAGCGAACUAAAGUAGCGAAGUGUGUGAUUCCGGCUGUCAAGAAAAGCCGCUAUUGUGUGAUACAUGCCCGUACCGUAAACCGACACAGGUAGAUGAGGAGAGAAUCCUAAGGCCGGCGGGAGAAGCAUUGUUAAGGAACUCGGCAAAAUGACCCCGUAACUUCGGGAGAAGGGGUGCCACAGAGAUGUGGCCGCAGAGAAUAGGCUCAAGCAACUGUUUAGCAAAAACACAGGUCUAUGCAAAACCGUAAGGUGAGGUAUAUGGGCUGACGCCUGCCCGGUGCUGGAAGGUUAAGAGGAGAGGUUAGAGCAAUCGAAGCUUUGAAUUUAAGCCCCAGUAAACGGCGGCCGUAACUAUAACGGUCCUAAGGUAGCGAAAUUCCUUGUCGGGUAAGUUCCGACCCGCACGAAAGGCGUAAUGAUUUGAGCGCUGUCUCAACAAUGCACCCGGUGAAAUUGAAAUACCAGUGAAGAUGCUGGUUACCUGCGCCAGGACGGAAAGACCCCAUGGAGCUUUACUCCAGUUUGAUACUGGGAUUCGGUAUUGCAUGUACAGGAUAGGUGGGAGGCUAAGAAACAUGGACGCCAGUCUGUGUGGAGCCAAUGUUGGGAUACCACCCUUGCGAUAUUGGGUUUCUAACCUGCGCCCGUGACCCGGGCGGGGGACAAUGUCAGGCGGGGAGUUUGACUGGGGCGGUCGCCUCCGAAAGGGUAUCGGAGGCGCUCAAAGGUUCCCUCAGGAUGGUUGGAAACCAUCCAAAGAGUGCAAAGGCAUAAGGGAGCUUGACUGCGACACCGACGGGUGGAGCAGGUACGAAAGUAGGACUUAGUGAUCCGGUGGUAUGAAAGUGGGAUUGCCAUCGCUCAACGGAUAAAAGCUACCCUGGGGAUAACAGGCUUAUCACUCCCAAGAGUUCACAUCGACGGAGUGGUUUGGCACCUCGAUGUCGGCUCAUCGCAUCCUGGGGCUGUAGCAGGUCCCAAGGGUUGGGCUGUUCGCCCAUUAAAGCGGUACGCGAGCUGGGUUCAGAACGUCGUGAGACAGUUCGGUCCCUAUCCGGCGCGGGCGUAGGAUAUCUGAGAGGAGCUGUCCUUAGUACGAGAGGACCGGGAUGGACAGACCGCUGGUGUACCUGUUGGCUUACCAAGGCCAUGGCAGGGUAGCCAAGUCUGGACGGGAUAAACGCUGAAGGCAUCUAAGCGUGAAGCCCCCCUCAAGAUGAGAUAUCCCAUCGCGAAAGCGAGUAAGACCCCUUGA